UACGUAGGGGGCAAGCGUUGUCCGGAUUCAUUGGGCGUAAAGAGCGUGUAGGCGGCCAGGUAGGUCUGGUGUGAAAACUCGAGGCUUAACCUCGAGAUGUCAUCGGAAACCAUCUGGCUAGAGUCCGGAAGAGGAGAGUGGAAUUCCUGGUGUAGCGGUGGAAUGCGCAGAUAUCAGGAGGAACACCGAUGGCGAAGGCAGGUCUCUGGGCCACUACUGACGCUGAGAAGCGAAAGCAUGGGGAGCGAACAGG
rnacentral:rRNA from 1 species